rnacentral:rRNA from 1 species
CUGGCUCAGAUUGAACGCUGGCGGCAUGCUUUACACAUGCAAGUCGAACGGCAGCGGGGGCUUCGGCCUGCCGGCGAGUGGCGAACGGGUGAGUAAUGCAUCGGAACGUGCCCAUGUCGUGGGGGAUAACGUAGCGAAAGCUACGCUAAUACCGCAUACGCCCUGAGGGGGAAAGCGGGGGAUUCUUCGGAACCUCGCGCGAUUGGAGCGGCCGAUGUCGGAUUAGCUAGUAGGUGAGGUAAAGGCUCACCUAGGCGACGAUCCGUAGCGGGUCUGAGAGGAUGAUCCGCCACACUGGGACUGAGACACGGCCCAGACUCCUACGGGAGGCAGCAGUGGGGAAUUUUGGACAAUGGGCGCAAGCCUGAUCCAGCCAUGCCGCGUGAGUGAAGAAGGCCUUCGGGUUGUAAAGCUCUUUCGGCCGGGAAGAAAUCGU